rnacentral:rRNA from 1 species
CACGGGGGGAGCAAGCGUUGUUCGGAAUCACUGGGCGUAAAGGGCGUGUAGGCGGUCAGGUAAGUGAGACGUGAAAUGCCCCGGCUUACCCGGGGACCUGCGUCUCAUACUGCUUGGCUUGAGUACGGGAGAGGGUGUGGGAAUUCCUGGUGUAGCGGUGAAAUUCGUAGAUAUUCGGAAGAACACCAGUGGCGAAGGCGGCUCACUGGACUGGUAUUGACGCUGAGGUGCGAAAGCGUGGGGAGCAAACAGG